rnacentral:rRNA from 1 species
UACAGAGGUCUCGAGCGUUGUUCGGAAUCACUGGGCGUAAAGGGCGCGUAGGCGGCCCGCACAAGUCUGCGGUGAAAACCCCCGGCUUAACCGGGGGCCGGCCGUGGAAACUGUCGGGCUGGAGGCUGGGAGAGGGCAGCGGAAUUCCCGGUGUAGCGGUGAAAUGCGCAGAUAUCAGGAGGAACACCAAUGGCGAAGGCAGCACUCUGGGACGUGACUGACGCUGAGACGCGAAAGCGUGGGGAGCAAACAGG